AGAGUUUGAUCAUGGCUCAGAUUGAACGCUGGCGGCAGGCUUAACACAUGCAAGUCGAGCGGGGAAAGGUAGCUUGCUACCUGACCUAGCGGCGGACGGGUGAGUAAUGCUUAGGAAUCUGCCUAUUAGUGGGGGACAACAUCUCGAAAGGGAUGCUAAUACCGCAUACGUCCUACGGGAGAAAGUAGGGGACCUUCGGGCCUUGCGCUAAUAGAUGAGCCUAAGUCGGAUUAGCUAGUUGGUGGGGUAAAGGCCUACCAAGGCGACGAUCUGUAGCGGGUCUGAGAGGAUGAUCCGCCACACUGGGACUGAGACACGGCCCGGACUCCUACGGGAGGCAGCAGUGGGGAAUAUUGGACAAUGGGGGGAACCCUGAUCCAGCCAUGCCGCGUGUGUGAAGAAGGCCUUUUGGUUGUAAAGCACUUUAAGCGAGGAGGAGGCUACCGAGAUUAAUACUCUUGGAUAGUGGACGUUACUCGCAGAAUAAGCACCGGCUAACUCUGUGCCAGCAGCCGCGGUAAUACAGAGGGUGCAAGCGUUAAUCGGAUUACUGGGCGUAAAGCGCGCGUAGGUGGCCAAUUAAGUCAAAUGUGAAAUCUCCGAGCUUAACUUGGGAAUUGCAUUCGAUACUGGUUGGCUAGAGUAUGGGAGAGGAUGGUAGAAUUCCAGGUGUAGCGGUGAAAUGCGUAGAGAUCUGGAGGAAUACCGAUGGCGAAGGCAGCCAUCUGGCCUAAUACUGACACUGAGGUGCGAAAGCAUGGGGAGCAAACAGGAUUAGAUACCCUGGUAGUCCAUGCCGUAACGAUGUCUACUAGCCGUUGGGGCCUUUGAGGCUUUAGUGGGCGCAGCUAACGCGAUAAGUAGACGCUUGGGGAGUACGUCGCAGACUAAACUCAAUGAUUGACGA
rnacentral:rRNA from 1 species